CUUUCUCUGGGCUGGUGUGUGAAGCUCCGAAUCUGUGACCUCACUAGAAUCAGUGUGCGCAAGGGGAUCAGCAAUGCAGGGCAAAGGUGACUGGUGAGACACACGUCUACACAAACGCAUACAGUAGUAAGUAAGUGCUGCUCCACCAAGCUGAGAAGAAAUGGCCCUUGGCUGUCCUCGGGGCCAGUGCUAGGAACUCUGGACCAGCCGUCUGUAGUGGGGCAUGACUUCGUGCUCGGGCAAGUGGAGGGCGAAUUCCAAGGCCACUAACACCGGG
rnacentral:lncRNA from 1 species